rnacentral:rRNA from 1 species
GAUGAACGCUGGCGGCGUGCUUAACACAUGCAAGUCGAACGAAGCACUUUAUUUGAUUUCCUUCGGGACUGAUUAUUUUGUGACUGAGUGGCGGACGGGUGAGUAACGCGUGGGUAACCUGCCUUGUACAGGGGGAUAACAGUUGGAAACGGCUGCUAAUACCGCAUAAGCGCACAGCAUCGCAUGAUGCAGUGUGAAAAACUCCGGUGGUAUAAGAUGGACCCGCGUUGGAUUAGCUAGUUGGUGAGGUAACGGCCCACCAAGGCGACGAUCCAUAGCCGACAUGAGAGGGUGACCGGCCACAUUGGGACUGAGACACGGCCCAAACUCCUACGGGAGGCAGCAGUGGGGAAUAUUGCACAAUGGGCGAAAGCCUGAUGCAGCGACGCCGCGUGAGCGAAGAAGUAUUUCGGUAUGUAAAGCUCUAUCAGCAGGGAAGAUAAUGACGGUACCUGACGAAGAAGCACCGGCUAAAUACGUG